rnacentral:rRNA from 1 species
UAAUNGCCNUNGUCCANGGCCGGUUACUGAUGGAAUUCCUAUGUGGAACUGCUACCUCACCAGUCCUGGAGGGCAUAGUUGAAUUCCCAGUGUAGCGAUGAAAUGCGUAGAUAUUGGGAGGAACACCAGCGGCGAAGGCGGCUACCUGGACAGUGACUGACGCUGAGGCGCGAAAGCUAGGGGAGCAAAAGGGAUUAGAUACCCCUGUAGU